rnacentral:rRNA from 1 species
GAUGAACGCUGGCGGCGUGCCUAAUACAUGCAAGUCGAGCGAACAGACGAGGAGCUUGCUCCUCUGACGUUAGCGGCGGACGGGUGAGUAACACGUGGAUAACCUACCUAUAAGACUGGGAUAACUUCGGGAAACCGGAGCUAAUACCGGAUAAUAUAUUGAACCGCAUGGUUCAAUAGUGAAAGACGGUUUUGCUGUCACUUAUAGAUGGAUCCGCGCCGCAUUAGCUAGUUGGUAAGGUAACGGCUUACCAAGGCAACGAUGCGUAGCCGACCUGAGAGGGUGAUCGGCCACACGGGAACUGAGACACGGUCCAGCCUCCUACGGGAGGCAGCAGUAGGGAAUCUUCCGCAAUGGGCGAAAGCUUGACGGAGCAACGCCGCGUGAGUGAUGAAGGUCUUCGGAUCGUAAAACUCUGUUAUUAGGGAAGAACAAAUGUGUAAGUAACUAUGCACGUCUUGACGGUACCUAAGCAGAAAGCCACGGCUAACUACGU